CUCGUAGGCGGCCAACUAAGUCAGACGUGAAAUCCCUCGGCUUAACCGGGGAACUGCGUCUGAUACUGGAUGGCUUGAGGUUGGGAGAGGGAUGCGGAAUUCCAGGUGUAGCGGUGAAAUGCGUAGAUAUCUGGAGGAACACCGGUGGCGAAGGCGGCAUCCUGGACCAAAUCUGACGCUGAGGAGCGAAAGCCAGGGGAUAAACG
rnacentral:rRNA from 1 species